rnacentral:lncRNA from 1 species
AAGUCCACGCAUAUAUACGGGAUUGUCAUAACAGAGCUAAGAACUAUUCAUUUUAUGACCCGAAGUUUUUCGAUUUAGACCCUGCACGUAACCACUCAUCAUGUAUCUACGACGCCUUUUCCAAGAGAGUAGCUUGUGUUACUGUUUGUGAUACUGACUUUUGUAAUGGACCUCAGAUAGCUGGUGGAAAUAGUAGCCGCG